rnacentral:lncRNA from 1 species
UUUGUUUAGCCUUGUGUGGCAUCUGAUUCAAACCAUGUGGCCGUAGAGAAGUGUUUCCUUCGGGUGGAAUUGCCUUGGAAGAUGGUAGUAAUUUAUCCCAUAAGUUUGCAAUAAAAAUAUCAAGUGAACUUAGCUACUUCUGAAGCAACAUACCGAGUAGGACUAACACAACCACUACACAGACCAUCGGUCAUUUUCUUGGUUUCUGCAGCCUUAAAAGGUCCUGCAAAAAACCAACACACAAGUAUAAACAUCAUUUUGCAAGCAAAAUAUUAUUUAGUAUAAAAACUAGUUAAUUAAAAAAUCAAAAUUAUUUAGCAUUAAAAAUAGUUAGUGGAAAUCUAAUUUAAUUAGAUAUUCUUAUUAUUAUAUUAUAUUUGUUUUUGGUAUGAUUUUUAAAGGUUGGGAAACUAAGAAAAUGGUCGACCGUGUGUGCAGUGGUUGUGUUAAUCCUACUCGGUACUCGCCAUAUUUUCACCAUGUUGCUUCAGAAGUAGCUAAGGUCAUUCAAUUGAUGUUUUGUUUGCGAACUUAUGGGAUAAAUUCCUACCGUCUUGCCAGGCAGUUCCAUCUGAAGGGAACACUCUAUGGCCACAAGGUUCUCAUCAGACGCCACACAAGGGUAAACUCCCGACAGAGAUUUCUCCUAUAGGAUCCCUAGCAUAAGAACUCAUCACAUUAAGUAAUAAUAAGGAAACCAAGUGAAACACAAAACUACUGCAUUUCAGAACAUAAUUUACAUAAGAUUUUUCCUUUCGGGAGACCUGAAGGAAUUAUACAGGAAAUAAGAAGACUACCUUCUUCCUUCCAAUCUUCGCUACCUGAUGAUACAAUGCCUUCAACAUAAGGCUUUAUUACAAGUGGAGAUGAAACAUCUACAACUACUAAUGACUGGGAGGCUGUGGUGCUCUUGCUCUAAGAGUGUUGAUGCUGUGGAGUCUGGUGCUUUGUGUCUUUUGUAGCGCUCAGUCGUCAUCCUUUUAUAGUGUGCAAGGGACACCGUGCGAUCCCUUCUUUAUUCCUCUAUAGCUUGUGCACUGUUGCAUGCCACGAGACAACUUCACUGGUUGAAACGUCAUGCAUGUUCCUUCGUGUGAGAUGAUGAACCACCCUAAUAUUUUAUCUACCAUGCAUUCCUUGUAGUUUGCGCACUCAAG